AUCCAAUACUAAGUACUAGUGCCGCAGGAGUCGUAUAUUUGAGUAACCCUGUCGUACUUGUGCUUAACAUAGGAU
ncrna:Saccoglossus kowalevskii microRNA sko-mir-252a precursor